rnacentral:rRNA from 1 species
CCGGCGACCGGCGCACGGGUGAGUAACACGUAUGGAACCUGCCCGCAGCAGGGGGAUAAGCGGAAGAAAUUCCGUCUAAUACCGCGUAACAACGUUGGGAGGCAUCUCCCGAUGUUUAAAGAUUUAUCGGCUGCGGAUGGCCAUGCGGCGCAUUAGCUAGUCGGCGGGGUAACGGCCCACCGAGGCGACGAUGCGUAGGGGUUCUGAGAGGAAGGUCCCCCACACUGGUACUGAGACACGGACCAGACUCCUACGGAAGGCAGCAG